UGUGCAUGUACAGAAAUGUUAACACUGCCUAUAUAUCGAAACAUAUCUGGACUAUCUUCAAGCACCCACAGUAUUUCCAAGGAUUACGAUUAAACAGAAGAAAACACCAUUAAAUCCAUUUAACACUUCAGACAGAAUUUUCGUUAGUCUCAUUGUGUACGAGUUCUCUCAGCAUAUUAUGUCAAAUUUGUCGUAAUAAAUACUUUAAAUGUGGCCGCAAUUCGAUGCUAAACAUACAAGACAA